GAUGAACGCUGGCGGCGUGCCUAAUACAUGCAAGUCGAGCGAACAGACGAGGAGCUUGCUCCUCUGACGUUAGCGGCGGACGGGUGAGUAACACGUGUAUAACCUCCCUAUAAGACUGGUAUCACUUCGGGACACCGGAGCUAAUACCGUAUAAUCUAUUGAACCGCAUGGUUCAAUAGUGAAAGACGGUUUUGCUGUCACUUAUAGAUGGAUCCGCGCCGCAUUAGCUAGUUGGUAAGGUAACGGCUUACCAAGGCAACGAUGCGUAGCCGACCUGAGAGGGUGAUCGGCCACACUGGAACUGAGACACGGUCCAGAGUCCUACGGGAGGCAGCAGUAGGGAAUCGUCCGCAAUGGGCGAAAGCUUGACGGAGCGACGCCGCGUGAGUGAUGAAGGUCUUCGGAUCGUAAAACUCUGUUAUUAGGGAAGAACAAAUGUGUAAGUAACUAUGCACGUAUUGACGGUACCUAAUCAGAAAGCCACGGCUAACUACGUG
rnacentral:rRNA from 1 species